UGUGAAAAGUUGAACAUAUACCUGAAAACCAAAAGACGGUUAAUAUAAUGAAUAUAUUUAAAGUGCUGUACAAAUACAAAAAUACUUCUAUAUGCGCGUCUAUUAAUGUAUAUUCAAGCCCGAGAAAUAGGUUGGGUGGUAAAGAUGACUUGAAGACUCCAUGUUGCGAUUAUUCAAUAAAAUAACAGGGGUGAUGCAAUAUUAAUUUAAUUUAAUUCACAGAUCUUUUAACUUACUGCAAUUUGGCAGUUAAUCAUCCACUCCAAUUUAUAGUAUACAAAUAGUACCUUUUAUCGAUA
rnacentral:misc_RNA from 1 species